rnacentral:misc_RNA from 1 species
AACUAUGGCAGUUAUGGAUGGGCCUCUGGAGCCAUCAGCAUCAACUGCUUCCAAUGUCACUGAUGUGCCUGAUGAUCCGGCCUUUGUGAACUUCUUUAGCACAGCAAUGAGUAUUGGGAAUGCUUCAAAUGCAACAGCUGUUGGACAGCCUUACCAAUCUUCAACUCCAGUCCCUUUACCUUCCUAUCCAACUAGUGUACCCACUCCCACUGUGCCAACCUUGCAAAUACCAUCUCCUCCUCUGUCAGCAUCUACUCCUUUAAUGCCAAUCCUAGAUGCUCCUGAUGCCAACAGCACCAGCAACCGAGCCACUAAUCUUGUAAAGCCUUCUUCAUUUUUUGUUCCUCCACCGUUAUCUUCUGCACGGAUGAUGCCGCCUGUCUCUUCAUCCAUUCCUACUGCUCCUCCACUUAAUCCUACUGUGAGCCUACAUCGCCCAUAUGGAGCUCCAUUGCUUCAACCAUUUCCACCACCCAAUCCUCCACCAUCUCUCACUCCUGCCUCAGUUCCUACUGCAAAUUAUGGACCAGUUAUUAGCAAAGACAAAGUUCGGGAUGCACUUCUGGUGCUUGUUCAGGACAAUCAAUUUAUUGACAUGGUGUAACGAGCGCUGCUGAAUCCACACCAUUGACAAAUUGGAAUGGGUCAUGACCAUAUCUACUCGCUGGGGUUUUUGUUCACUGUGAAGCUUUUUUUCCCAUCAAGUGUGAAAGAUCAAAUCUGUAUAGCAUUUUGCCCGGUUUGAUGACGGUACUCAUCUUAAAAAAAUAUAUAUAUAUAUUUGAUUUGUCUCUUAUUUUUUUUGGAAUGACAACCAAAGAUUGGAAUAUAU